rnacentral:rRNA from 1 species
AUUGAACGCUAGCGGGAUGCCUUACACAUGCAAGUCGAACGGGAUGGCGAACGGGUGAGUAAUGUAUCGGUACGUGCCCAGUCGCGGGGGAUAGCUACGCGAAAGCGUAGCUAAUACCGCACAUUUUUGGAGCGGCCGAUAUCGGAUUAGCUAGCUGGUGGGGUAACGGCUGACCAAGGCGACGAUCCGUAGCUGGUUUGAGAGGACGACCAGCCACACGGGGACUGAGACACGGCCCAGACUCCUACGUGAGGCAGCAGUGGGGAAUUUUGGACAAUGGGGGCAACCCUGAUCCAGCCAUCCCGCGUGUGCGAGGAAGGCCUUCGGGUUGUAAAGCACGUUUAGCAGGGAAGCGGUACCUGCAGAAUAAGCACCGGCUAACUACGUGCCAGCAGCCGCGGUAAUAC